UUUAUACUGUUAAUGUGCAAAUAAAUCUUUUUCCAUCACAUAUGCCCUCAAUACUCAUUUUACGUUGAGUUUCUCAGCUCUCAUGUAAUUGUGGGGGGUUUUGUAUAGUUCAAGCUGACCCUUAGCACUGUUAGCAGUUAGUUAACAUACUGAAUAAACAUGACUUGUGAAUUACAUUUGCCACUCACACUAAUGCUAGUUAGCUACAUGUGGAAAAGUCUCCUACUUGGAACCACAUCAUAGUAAAUUGUUAAAAUGCAUUUGUCACUUAAACUAAUGCUAGUUACCACUUAGAUAACACAUUAGUAACUUAAUGUUAGCUGUGGUUCAUUACAGACACAAGCUCGCCAUAGCUAAUGCUUAGCUAAGAUGUUACCAAGUCAAGUAAACACUAACUACCGAUUAGGUAAUGUUUCAAUGACAAGUCGACUUUUCUUGUUUAAAUCACUUGUACUGAGGAUAUUAACACAAAAUGAGUUGAGCCCACCUUAAAAACUAAGAUGAAACAAAGUGACAGAGCAUCAGCCUACAUCUAUGUGUGUAGCAAGCAGUGUUUUCUCAUAUUAUUUUAAUUUUCCAAAUAUACUGAUGCUCAGAGCGUCAGAAAUCGAUGCUGCAUGUUUGCUUGGCCUCACUAACACCACACACACACGCACAACACACAAAGGUGAUCAAUUCAAUUUCAAUUCAAUUUCAAUUGUAAAUCAGUAAAUAAAAUUAAUUUGUCACAAAACGACUUUUUGCGCAGAUGGAACUGGCGCACAGGCUUCGGUCUUCACUCACAGCGUGAACUCAAAGCAAUAUUACACACAGCUGGACGAGUAGCGACGCAUUUCCGAGGAACAGCGGGGAAAGAAACGCAUUGUUUGUGCGCCCAGCUGCAACAAACACGUGACAUCAGCUGACAGGUCAUCACUGAUCUGUUCUUUUAAUUUGUUUUAACGGUGAUGUGGCAUAUUGAACAAGUUUGUUUAUUUUUAUAAAGUCAGGUCACUUUGAACUGUUUAAUCACGUCACUCAUCUGUUUCCAUCUGACGUUUUACUUUUUUACUUUUUUUUCUUUUCAUGCCGACUGUCCUUUUGCAUGAGUUUGACUUGAAUCGAUGUCUAUGCAAAAACAUCUUGCGCUUGUCAAGUGUGCUGAAAAGAAAGACACUGGGUCUGACUCACAACACAUCUGCCCUGAUGAACAAUUUUAAUUAAUUACAUAUAUAUACGAGGUCUAUUAGAUAAUAAACCGUGCGAUUGCACCAAUCAUGCUUGAACCCUUGUGCGCAUGCGUGAGUUUUUUCACGCGUGUCGGUGACG